rnacentral:tRNA from 1 species
CAAGAUAUAGCUAGUUAGUCCAAGCACCUCUUUUACACGGAGUCAACGUCUGUGCAAGUCAGGCUAUCUUGA